rnacentral:rRNA from 1 species
UACGAAGGGGGCUAGCGUUGUUCGGAAUUACUGGGCGUAAAGCGCGCGUAGGCGGGUUCUCAAGUCAGGGGUGAAAUCCCAGGGCUUAACCCUGGAACUGCCUUUGAUACUGGGAGCCUGGAGUUCGGGAGAGGUGAGUGGAAUUCCGAGUGUAGAGGUGAAAUUCGUAGAUAUUCGGAGGAACACCAGAAGCGAAGGCGGCUCACUGGCCCGAUACUGACGCUGAGGCGCGAAAGCGUGGGGAGCAAACAGG